GCGUGCUUAACACAUGCAAGUCGAACGGAAAGGCCCUGCUUUUGUGGGGUGCUCGAGUGGCGAACGGGUGAGUAACACGUGAGUAACCUGCCCUUGACUUUGGGAUAACUUCAGGAAACUGGGGCUAAUACCGGAUAGGAGCUCCUGCUGCAUGGUGGGGGUUGGAAAGUUUCGGCGGUUGGGGAUGGACUCGCGGCUUAUCAGCUUGUUGGUGGGGUAGUGGCUUACCAAGGCUUUGACGGGUAGCCGGCCUGAGAGGGUGACCGGCCACAUUGGGACUGAGAUACGGCCCAGACUCCUACGGGAGGCAGCAGUGGGGAAUAUUGCACAAUGGGCGGAAGCCUGAUGCAGCAACGCCGCGUGCGGGAUGACGGCCUUCGGGUUGUAAACCGCUUUCGCCUGUGACGAAGCGUGAGUGACGGUAAUGGGUAAAGAAGCACCGGCUAACUACGUGCCAGCAGCCGCGGUGAUACGUAGGGUGCGAGCGUUGUCCGGAUUUAUUGGGCGUAAAGGGCUCGUAGGUGGUUGAUCGCGUCGGAAGUGUAAUCUUGGGGCUUAACCCUGAGCGUGCUUUCGAUACGGGUUGACUUGAGGAAGGUAGGGGAGAAUGGAAUUCCUGGUGGAGCGGUGGAAUGCGCAGAUAUCAGGAGGAACACCAGUGGCGAAGGCGGUUCUCUGGGCCUUUCCUGACGCUGAGGAGCGAAAGCGUGGGGAGCGAACAGGCUUAGAUACCCUGGUAGUCCACGCUGUAAACGGUGGGUACUAGGUGUGGGGUCCAUUCCACGGGUUCCGUGCCGUAGCUAACGCUUUAAGUACCCCGCCUGGGGAGUACGGCCGCAAGGCUAAAACUCAAAGGAAUUGACGGGGCCCCGCACAAGCGGCGGAGCAUGCGGAUUAAUUCGAUGCAACGCGUAGAACCUUACCUGGGUUUGACAUGGAUCGGGAGUGCUCAGAGAUGGGUGUGCCUCUUUUGGGGUCGGUUCACAGGUGGUGCAUGCCUGUCGUCAGCUCGUGUCGUGAGAUGUUGGGUUAAGUCCCGCAACGAGCGCAACCCUUGUUCACUGUUGCCAGCACGUUAUGGUGGGGACUCAGUGGAGACCGCCGGGGUCAACUCGGAGGAAGGUGGGGAUGACGUCAAGUCCUCAUGCCCCUUAUGUCCAGGGCUUCACGCAUGCUACAAUGGCUGGUACAGAGAGUGGCGAGCCUGUGAGGGUGAGCGAAUCUCGGAAAGCCGGUCUCAGUUCGGAUUGGGGUCUGCAACUCGACCUCAUGAAGUCGGAGUCGCUAGUAAUCGCAGAGCAGCAACGCUGCGGUGAAUACGUUCCCGGGGCUUGUACACACCGCCCGUCAAGUCAUGAAAGUUGGUAACACCCGAAGCCGGUGGCCUAACCGUUGUGGGGGAGCCGUCGAAGGUGGGACUGGUGAUUAGG
rnacentral:rRNA from 1 species